AAAGGGAUUCCCUAGUAGCGGCGAGCGAAGCGGGAAGAGCUCAAAUUUAUAAUCUGGCACCUUCGGUGUCCGAGUUGUAAUCUCUAGAAAUGUUUUCCGCGUUGGACCGCACACAAGUCUGUUGGAAUACAGCGGCAUAGUGGUGAGACCCCCGUAUAUGGUGCGGACGCCCAGCGCUUUGUGAUACAUUUUCGAAGAGUCGAGUUGUUUGGGAAUGCAGCUCAAAUUGGGUGGUAAAUUCCAUCUAAAGCUAAAUAUUGGCGAGAGACCGAUAGCGAACAAGUACCGUGAGGGAAAGAUGAAAAGCACUUUGGAAAGAGAGUUAACAGUACGUGAAAUUGUUGGAAGGGAAACGCUUGAAGUCAGACUUGCUUGCCGAGCAAUCGGUUUGCAGGCCAGCAUCAGUUUUCCGGGAUGGAUAAUGGUAGAGAGAAGGUAGCAGUUUCGGCUGUGUUAUAGCUCUCUGCUGGAUACAUCUUGGGGGACUGAGGAACGCAGUGUGCCUUUUGGCGGGGGUUUCGACCUCUUCACACUUAGGAUGCUGGUGGAAUGGCUUUAAACGACCCGUCUGAAAACCCGGGACCC
rnacentral:rRNA from 1 species